AUCGCAUAAAAUGUGUCAAGUUGAAUAAGUUUGACGAAUCAUUUCCCAUUCGGUUUAGUUUUUAACGGUGUAUGUCUUGGCUGGCGGCUAUCGCCAAAAACUGCAAUGUAACAUGAAAGAAAUCAGAAGCAAAAAAAAUGAGAAAAACGCUGAAGCUAUUGUUUGAUUUUCUCAUCAU
ensembl:ncRNA F36G3.6 ncRNA